CGUAGGUGGCAAGCGUUGUCCGGAAUUAUUGGGCGUAAAGCGCGCGCAGGCGGUCACUUAAGUCCAUCUUAGAAGUGCGGGGCUUAACCCCGUGAUGGGAUGGAAACUGGGAGACUGGAGUAUCGGAGAGGAAAGUGGAAUUCCUAGUGUAGCGGUGAAAUGCGUAGAUAUUAGGAAGAACACCGGUGGCGAAAGGCGACUUUCUGGACGAAAACUAGACGCGUGAGGCGCGAAAGACGUGGGGAGCAAACAGGAUU
rnacentral:rRNA from 1 species